rnacentral:rRNA from 1 species
CAAAAACACCGCCUCCCGUUCCCCAUGAGAGGUCCAGCCUGCCCAGUGGAUUUACUAAACGGCCGCGGUACCCUAACCGUGCUAAGGUAGCGCAAUCACUUGUCCCCUAAAUAGGGACUCGUAUGAACGGCACCACGAGGGUUAUCCUGUCUCCCCCCUUUAAUCAGUGAAACUGACCUCCCCGUGAAGAGGCGGGGAUAAGUAUAUAAGACGAGAAGACCCCAUGGAGCUUUAAAUACACACCACCUACUCUCCUUAUAUCUAUAAAACCAAGUAGCUCUGGCCACUGUUUUAGGUUGGGGCGACCACGGAGUAAAACUCAACCUCCGAGACGAACAACUAAUUCAAGAACAACAACUCAAAAAAUCAAAACUGACGUAAUUGACCCAAGCCCAUUGAUCAACGAACCAAGUUACCCUGGGGAUAACAGCGCAAUCCAUUUAAAGAGCCCCUAUCAACAAAUGGGUUUACGACCUCGAUGUUGGAUCAGGGUACCCCAGUGGUGUAGCCGCUACUAAAGGUUCGUUUGUUCAACGAUUAAAACCCU